GACGAACGCUGGCGGCGUGCUUAACACAUGCAAGUCGAACGCUGAAGCUUGGUGCUUGCACUGGGUGGAUGAGUGGCGAACGGGUGAGUAAUACGUGAGUAACCUGCCCUUGACUCUGGGAUAAGCCUGGGAAACUGGGUCUAAUACUGGAUACGACAUGUCACCGCAUGGUGGUGUGUGGAAAGGGUUUUACUGGUUUUGGAUGGGCUCACGGCCUAUCAGCUUGUUGGUGGGGUAAUGGCUCACCAAGGCGACGACGGGUAGCCGGCCUGAGAGGGUGACCGGCCACACUGGGACUGAGACACGGACCAGACUCCUACGGGAGGCAGCAGUGGGGAAUAUUGCACAAUGGGCGGAAGCCUGAUGCAGAGACGCCGCGUGAGGGAUGACGGCCUUCGGGUUGUAAACCUCUUUCAGCACGGAAGAAGCGAAAGUGACGGUACGUGAAGAAGAAGCGCCGGCUAACUACGUG
rnacentral:rRNA from 1 species